AGUUUCCUGUGCUCUAGGCCUCCUCCCCCAGAAGCUGAUGAUCUUUCUCUCGAGUUGCAUUAAAGCUAUGCUGCAGAAGAACCCGUGUGUGUCCUGUGUGUGUGUCCUUGCUGGCGAGACUCCAUAUCAUAUCACAGGAACAUCUGGUGCCGAAGAUCCCGGGAAUUCUACAACAUCGCCGGCAUGGAGGAGGUCCCCCAGAAAUGGGGCGGGUUCAGAACUGCAGUGGAAAUCGAGGAAGAUAAUCCCUUUUGGAUUCCGGAGCACCUCACUCGAAGGAUCCAGCUCUUGGACAAUGAGUCACAGGAACAAGAUCCCAAGACAUCGAUGGAU
rnacentral:lncRNA from 1 species